GCUUGUGUGGAGCAGUGGCUAACGCUUUGCACUAUCAUUUUGGAGUCCGGGGUUCGACCCCCAUUCAGGCU